rnacentral:rRNA from 1 species
UACGGAGGGGGCUAGCGUUGUUCGGAAUUACUGGGCGUAAAGCGUACGUAGGCGGUUAUUCAAGUCAGAGGCGAAAGCCCGGGGCUCAACCCCGGAACUGCCUUUGUAAACUAGAUAGCUAGAAUCUUGGAGAGGUCAGUGGAAUUCCGAGUGUAGAGGUGAAAUUCGUAGAUAUUCGGAAGAACACCAGUGGCGAAGGCGACUGACUGGACAAGUAUUGACGCUGAGGUACGAAAGCGUGGGGAGCAAAC